CAGUAGCCGCGGUAAUGCGAAGGGUGCAAGCGUUAAUCGGAAUUACUGGGCGUAAAGCGUGCGUAGGCGGUUUGUUAAGUCUGUUGUGAAAUCCCCGGGCUCAACCUGGGAAUGGCAAUGGAUACUGGCAAGCUAGAGUGUGUCAGAGGAUGGUGGAAUUCCCGGUGUAGCGGUGAAAUGCGUAGAGAUCGGGAGGAACAUCAGUGGCGAAGGCGGCCAUCUGGGACAACACUGACGCUGAGGCACGAAAGCGUGGGGAGCAGACAGGAUUAGAUACCCCUGUAGUCCCUGUCUCUUAUAA
rnacentral:rRNA from 1 species